GUGCUCCCUUCAGCAGUCCAUAUACUAAACCUGCAAUGGUACAGAUUAGAUUAGCAUGCCCUUUGCACAAAGGUGACAUGCAAAUUCAUGAAACUUUCCAUAUUUUU
ensembl:snRNA U6 U6 spliceosomal RNA